rnacentral:rRNA from 1 species
UGACACGGGAGGUAGUGACAAUAAAUAACAAUACCGGGCUCUACGAGUCUGGUAAUUGGAAUGAGUACAAUCUAAAUCCCUUAACGAGGAACAAUUGGAGGGCAAGUCUGGUGCCAGCAGCCGCGGUAAUUCCAGCUCCAAUAGCGUAUAUUAAAGUUGUUGCAGUUAAAAAGCUCGUAGUUGAACCUUGGGCCUGGCUGGCCGGUCCGCCUCACCGCGUGUACUGGUCCGGCCGGGCCUUUCCUUCUGGGGAACCUCAUGCCCUUCACUGGGCGUGUUGGGGAACCAGGACUUUUACUUUGAAAAAAUUAGAGUGUUCAAAGCAGGCCUUUGCUCGAAUACAUUAGCAUGGAAUAAUAGAAUAGGACGUGUGGUUCUAUUUUGUUGGUUUCUAGGACCGCCGUAAUGAUUAAUAGGGAUAGUCGGGGGCAUCAGUAUUCAAUCGUCAGAGGUGAAAUUCUUGGAUUGAUUGAAGACUAACUACUGCGAAAGCAUUUGCCAAGGAUGUUUUCAUUAAUCAGUGAACGAAAGUUAGGGGAUCGAAGACGAUCAGAUACCGUCGUAGUCUUAACCAUAAACUAUGCCGACUAGGGAUCGGACGGUGUUAGUAUUUUGACCCGUUCGGCACCUUACGAGAAAUCAAAGUUUUUGGGUUCUGGGGGGAGUAUGGUCGCAAGGCUGAAACUUAAAGGAAUUGACGGAAGGGCACCACCAGGAGUGGAGCCUG